rnacentral:rRNA from 1 species
GUAAGGAAUACUGGUCAAUGGGCGGAAGCCUGAACCAGCCAUGCCGCGUGCAGGAAGACGGCCUUAUGGGUUGUAAACUGCUUUUGUCAGGGAAUAAACCCUCGUUUGCGAACGAGGCUGAAGGUACCUGAAGAAUAAGCACCGGCUAACUCCGUGCCAGCAGCCGCGGUAAUACGGAGGGUGCAAGCGUUAUCCGGAUUUACUGGGUUUAAAGGGUGUGUAGGCGGGCUUGUAAGUCAGGGGUGAAAUCCUACAGCUUAACUGUAGAACUGCCUUUGAUACUAUAGGUCUUGAAUAUUGUUGAGGUGGGCGGAAUACAUCAUGUAGCGGUGAAAUGCUUAGAUAUGAUGUAGAACACCGAUUGCGAAGGCAGCUCACUAAGCAAAUAUUGACGCUGAGGCACGAAAGCGUGGGGAUCAAACAGGAUUAGAUACCCCUGUAGUCC